ACGGCAGCACCGGAUCCAUAACCCACUGAACGAGGCCGGGGAUUGAACCUGUGUCCUCAUGGAUGCUACAAGGGUUUGUUAAAUGCUGAGUCGCGAUGGGAACUGCCCAAAUAUUGUUUUAAAAUAUUGCUUAUAUGCAUGAGUAUAAUGUGUGUAUUAUUUUUAAGCCAGGUUUUUUUUUUUGUUUUGUUUUACUUAUUUGGAAAAAUAAACUCUAUGCCACACUGCAUUGCCUGCUAGUAUUUUAUAGAGCCAUGUAUAAGGGUCAAUUACUUUGGUGGGGAGGUAGGUGGAAAAUAAGAAUCUCAUGCAAAAGACGUAUAUAAAAUGACAUAAAAUGAAACUUACUUAUCAAUAAGGGGCUGAGGGGAAUCCUGUAUGCAGAGUCAGGCAAUCUGUGUAAAUCAGAGGUGGUUGUGUUGGAUUUCACUUUGAAAUGUUCCAUGAUAGGAAGUGGACUUGGGAGAGGAAGGAAGGAAGGACUUCCAGAGCUUCAGUGUGGAACCGUGAACAAUGAACAGGAACAAGUACUCUGGACAAGACUGUGUGAUGUCCUGCCCUGCAGAAGGACGGCUAUGGGCAGAGGGGGCAUGUGCAUGAACCUGAGGAUGUGACCUUGGCACCCUGUCUGGUUUUGGCAGGGAGUACGCUUAGUUAAGUGCCACCUCAUUUCUGCCUAGAUUCAUCCUUGCUUGUUUCUUUAAAGACUGUGAGGUCUAGUCAGGGAUCUAUUCUCUGUUGGUGGAAGUGACUGGAACCAGAGACGCAGGUGAGAUCAUCUGGGAAAUGAAUGUAAGUGGAGAAAAAGGAGAAAGUCCCAGAGCAUCGCAAAGUUCAGGGACCGAGUGGAAAAACAGGAGCCUAAAAGUCAAAAAAAAAAAAAAAAAAAAAAGAAGAAAAGAAAGGUCCAGUGAUGUAAGAAUAAAAUUUGGAGAGUAGGUGACCCUAAGGCCAAGAGAGGAACGUGUUUCAGGAAGUAAGGAGUUGGUCAAUAAAGCUAAAUAUUGCUCAAAGUCUCAGUAAGAUGGAGGCACAGAUGUGUCCUCUGGGUUUGGCAACGUGGGGUUGUUGGUAACCUUGAUGAGAAAAUGGAAAUAUCAGGAACUUGGACUGGUGAAGAUGGGACUGAGAGGCUAUUUGUUAAAAACAGAAAAAUCAAACAAAAUUUAAUAACACAUAUACAUGGAGAUACCUGGAAAACUAAAUAACUAGCCAACAUGCCUGAGGCCCUCACCUGAAAUAGAAGGCCACACCUUAAAUCCAUCCUCAACUAAAAAGAAUCUUCCAUCCUGUGGGGAAGAAUGUAUUAGCUUGGCUUCUGGUUGGGACAAUAUUGGUGAAAGGGGUCAUGGUGUGAAAUGGCUCUGUGAUGCAUGGAGAAGAAACAAAAUGUCAUGUCUGAGGUUUGUGAUAAAAUUUGAUUGAUUCUUCAGGUGGCGUGAGAGGCCUUUCUCACCACUGUCACACUCCCCGCUGCCAAGGCUGAGACCCUGAAGGCAAAAUUUGUGUGCUUUGGUGGGGAGCGCUUGGGGUGUCACCACUGUGCUAAAUACAGUUCCAAGAAGUUUAGUGUUAGUUAAUAUUUUCUAAAUGGAAUUAGCCUCUUCUGAGCUUUCAGGGAGUUUGUAACUGCAGCAAUACUUUUUGCCCAGGUAUUCAUUAAAUCAUACAAAUAACUAGUUUCAAUGAAACAUAUAUUAAAUACAAUAUAUAAACAUAUUUUAUAUUAAGUACUUAUGUUAAUUCUUAUAACAGAUAAUUCCAUUUUCUACACUAAGCCCUACUUGACAUGAUGCUAAAAAAUGGGGGGGGGGGCGUGGACCCAUAUUUUCACUGAUAACAAAGAGGACGCUUAGUGGCAGGUGAGCCAUGGUUAAAAUGUUUACAUGUUAAGAGAUACGUUCCUUCAUCUACAAUAUGUGCUUGCAAGAGAAUUGAUAUUGCUGAUUUGAGAGAACUUGAAAAAACUUUCACGAAUGUAUGUUUUAAGAUUUAAUACAUGGUCUCUGCUUUUUUUUUCUUCCUGUCAGGUGUAUUCCCAUUUGACUCUUUUGACUCCUUGAACCAAAUCCUCUCUAGAUUAAGAUUAGGAAGCUGGUUCAGAGACAUCGGAGUCUGCAAAGAGGACUCUGCCGGUGCCAUGAACCGCCUUCUUCUCUCCCAGUGCGCCAUGCAAAGUACAGGACAAGACAAACUUUCAAGGGAGGGUAGGUUAAGAAGGGCAUGUAGUCCUUGCUAAUGAUUUUUGAUUCAUUUCCUCUAAUGGCAACGAAUUGGAGACUUUUAGAGGAGGAAGAAGAGAGUCGGGUUCAUUUUCUAGCACGUGGCUGGUGUGGAUGGUGGGGAGGAUGCUGGUGGGUGGCAUGAAGCUGAGAGUCAGACCAGUUAGGAAGCUGCUGCAGGAGAUGCUGUUUUCCACUCCUUCCCCAGCUUUGUGUUGAGUGUGUUAAGCCUCUGCUUCUGGCACAGCUGGGAGUGCAAAGAAGUUGCAACUGUUGACAGAAGUAAAGCUUAUUCAUCAUCUUCCCUCCUUCCUGAAGCCCUGUUUCCAUUUCCCCUCAUGGUUUGUAGGAAGACAGUCUUCACUGGUAUUGCCUUUCUCUGUGUUGUUUCCAGAAUCGAUUGUUGUCUUCCACCAUUGUAAAGUUUUGUACCUUAAAAAAAUCAGCAGAAUUGGGAAAUCUCACUUUGGGAGACAGCCUGGUCCUUCACAACCUGUUCUAAGCAAAUUCGAUUUGCUUGUUUUAACAGUCAUGACGCAGCUCUUCUGUGGAGCUUCCUCUUCAGCCUUAGGUAUUCCAAAGGCCGUGUGUUUCAAGAACUGGGCUGUGAUUCCCCAGCAAGCGAAACAUCUCCCCCUCCCCCUCUUUCCCCUCCCCCUCUCCCCCCUCCCUUUGCCUCACACCGGUUCCAGUUCCAUCCCAGCUCCCUGGGGAGAGCCUUGAGGAGCAUGGCCUGAUGCCUGGGGUGUUGGGUCUUCCCUGGGGUCAACGGGCUCUUUUCUUGGGAUGGAAAAGAAAUGAAAUUCUUGGUGUAUGCAUUUCUUAAGCAUGUCUGUAUCACUGGGGACCUGUCUUCCUAUUUUAGGACUGAGUCUAAUUUCAAUGUAAUUGUGAGGCAAGAGACAAUAUUUCAAGCUAGAUUGCUUGCCUAAUUGUUGCUUCAAGUAAAAAGAAAAUUGGGCUGGGAGUCUAGAGAGCUAAGUUUUAAAUGCACUCCAUUACUAAUUUAAAUAAAAAUUAAGUAACAUUUUAUAGUACAUCAUUUUUAAUAUUAAUUUUUACAGCCGACCUCAUUUAUUUAAUUUCUUCUGAUUUUAAUAGAGACAUAUCUCAGAAAAUCUUCCCAUCAAACUAUCUAUAGCCAUCUAUUUUUUUCCCCACACAAUGUCUCUCGCUUGCAUGUCCUCAAGCUUUCUUUGACUAAUUUUUUAAAAAAUGGCUUGAGAUCUCAUCAGGCACUGGAAGAACACCAAAAAUGUCCCAUCACUCUUAGAGGACAGAGGGCGGGUAUGUUAGUGAGUCUACCUUAUAGCUGAUUGUCAACAUAAAUGAUGUAAUGGAGAAUGCUCCAGACUUUGGAGCAAGACUGCCUGGGAUCGAGUCCUGAUUUCUGUCACUUACUGUGUGACCUUGAUGAAGUUACCUAACUUUUCUGUUCUCUGUUCCUCAGGGGUUUUUUGGUCCUAAAAAUGGAACAAUUGUUUUUGCCUCAUAGGCUUGUUUUGAGGAUUAAAUGAAUUAAUAACUUUAGGGUUAAGAGGAUCGAGUAAAUUUAUAUAUAUAAAUUAUUUAUAUAUAUAAAAUACUUAGCGUACUGCCUGGCCUGUAGUGAACAUGAUAUACGUGUUGAUUAUUCUUUUUUGGCUCAUUUUUCCAUUGCCCACUGGCUCUGCCCCCUAGAGUCUAGCCUGCUGUUGCUGCCAUGCCCUUUUCUGCACAGUUCUGCCUCAUGCCAGAUACCAGCCUUCUUCAUCCUCCUGAAGGUAUGGCACAUAUAAGGCUGCUGUGAGUAAUGAUGACACUUAAUAAUAAUAGCUGGCAUUUACUGAGUGCUCACCUUAUGCCAGCACUGCUGUUAGCACUUAACCUCUAUUUGUUCAUUUAAUCCUCAUACCAACUCUAUGAGAUAAAUGUGAUCAUAACCUCAUUUUACAGAUGAGGAAGUUGAGGUUCAAAUCAGUUGCAUAGCUUGUCCAAGGUCACCAGUUAGUGAGGAGUAAAGCUAGGUUUUCAAACACUACUUACUUCCUCUUCUCCUGGCCCUUGUAUAUAUAGGGAAGUAGGAAGUAUCUUUUUUUUUUUCCUUCUGGUGAAUGAUAUCCUUAUAGGGCUCUUCUUUCUGGCCGGUCAAAUUCCCAUCAGUGAUAAAUGAGCACUGCAGGGGGGGGUGCGGGGGGAGGGGCAGGGAUUCUCAGUAUAUGACGAGGAGGCCAAAGAAACAUCUGGAGUCUACUCAGCACCCAGUGUGUGCUGCCCUUGCAUGAGGCCCGCUGUGGCUCUGUCUCAGGGAAUUCUUGUGGCCGCUCUCACGUUCCGUUAUUGUCAUUUUCAUGGCAGGAAACUGAAUUUCAGAAAGGUAAGGACUUGCCUUUAGGUUACCCAGCUCUUGAGUUAAGACAAAUUUGAACUCAGGUCCAUGUGGCCCCAGAGCAUCACAGAGCAAGUUCUUUUCACCCUGGCACCCUGCUGUCCCCCGCAUCUUCACGUCUUCAAGGACUCCAUGCCAUGCGGACUUUUCUUUCGGCCUCUCUUUUUUUAACCUUUCCGAUUUAGCUUUUCUUUUCAACAGCUUAAAGUCCUAUGAACAAAUAUGUGAUUGUCUAUAUUAUUAACAUGAGGUAGGAGUAGUUAAAUGGAUUAAAGCUGCUUAUGGAAAUAUUUAACCUUAUCAUCCCAAGGGGCUUUACAUAUGAUGCCAGUAAGUAUCAUUAAGCUUUGUUCACCUCAAUAACAGCUGGUAUUAGAGUAUUUUAAGAUGUUAAAGCAGUUUCUGCCCUUGAGAUGGUCACCUUGGGUGGGAGGAGUGUAUGUAGUGUGUGUUGCAUGCAGGUACUCUGAGCCAUGACCUUGAGUUUCCCAGCCUCCAGAACUUUGAGGAAUAAAUUUCUAUUGUUUAUAAGCCACCUUGUCUGGUAUUCUGGUACAGAAGCCCAGAUGGAAUAAGACUAUCUUAUUUGAUUCUUUUCAAAGUUCUGUGAGGCAGCUGUUAUUAUGACUUCCUUUUUACAGAUGGAAUGAGUAGGAUUCAGGAAGUUAAAUAUUUGUUCAAGGUCACAUAAGAAACAGAGCCAGGACUAGCACUCCAGUGUCUGACUUCAAAUCCAGUGCUAUUUCUCCCUCACCUCAGCUAGACAGCAAGAGGACAUAGAAGCAUAGAAAGACCCAGGUACAUGUAAAAAAAAAAAAAAAAUCAGAUAUGAGCAAUGAUUUCAAUUUUUGGUCAGUCUUUUUCCUUGUGCUGCUUCAAACUCUAAUUUUUGGCUCUAGUGAUUUUUUUUCCCCUCAAACAUACUUUCCCAUAAUCCAAGUCAGAAUAUUGGCAUUGUCCUGCAUGCCCAUCAGUAUUCACCCUGAAGCAUAGCCAUGCUUGAUAUGGAAGAAAGGCACUGAGAACAAAGGAUUAUCUGUAAUGUUGCCACGAGGUCAAAAGGAGUCGUACCAUGUACAUGUUGGCAUCAAAUGUUUACAAUUCACAUUAAAAAAUAAUUUUUUAGGGCUGCAUAUAUAGCAUUUGGAAGUUCCUAGACUAGGAGGGAACUGCCGGCUUAUACCACAACC